AAUUUUGUCAGUUUUUAACUGUAAAGCUGUCCAAGACUGAUUACAGUAUAAGAUCAGUUGUCCUUGGCUCUGGUUUUCGUUUUGUAGCCUAUCUUGGAUGGGACCGUUGGAGUGAAGCGAAACACUUCGAAUUCACUUGCAGAGAAUAGUUCCGAUAGAAGUCGGAACACUACUGGACAGCGUUUGCAUUUGCUGCAUGAAGACGGUUGUGUUGAGCCGAUUUGCUUUCCUUCGCCAAAGACCUUUGGGGCCUAUAAAUUUAAGCCAGCGUGCUAGCUCACGCGCUGGCUAGCCAUUCGUGUCUCGGUUCUGGAAGGUCCUGAUAAAGAGUUGGACAGGGACUUAGCUCAGGCCCGGCAAGAAACCGCGGCCUAGCCACACUCGGAUAGUCCAUAAUCCAGUCAUCAUCCACUUCUGAUCAGUUGUCAGGUGAGACAACUCUUCGACGUGGACGUGGAUUUAGCCUACAAUACCUGUUGAACUGGUGUGACGGGCGAGGAGAGUAAGUGAAGGCGACACGCAUACUUCGUGAGGUCUGGUGGUGGAGCAAAGCCAACACCCGCCCUCGAAGUCACAACGCUAAAUAAGCACAGACCAAGAAGGGGCCAAGGCGAGAGGUAGAAUUCGCUGGACAGCUAUCAGUUUUUGGAGCGUGGUCUUCACAAGCAUCGAAGUUCACGAUCGAUAUCACAUACUCCUGUUCAACAAGAGAACUGAGCGACCAAGGAGAGAGGUAGAAUUCGCACGGAAGCUGUCCAUUUUCAGACGGUGGUCUUCACAGGCCUCGUAUUUCACGGUCGAUACCACAG